UAGAAGACAACAAGCCAAGAGCAAUAGUCACCCAAGGAAAAAGCUACUUCAGGGAAAGUGAUCCCUAGUGGUGGAGAUAAGUGCCAACUAUAAAUUUCACAAAGUAAUCCCAGGAGAGAGCUAUAUCAAAAGGGUAGUUCCAAAGGAAAAGAGAAAAGAACUUUGAGUAACCAGGAGUUUUAUUUCUCUAUUUCAUAGUCAACUUCUUGCCAACUGCCUUGCUUCCUGGUCCAGAAACAAUGCCCUGAGGAUAUAUCUAAGAUGUGAUGAAGCUCCUGCCAAUGCUUGUCCAACCAGUCAACAUCUAUUCAUUUCUGCUGAUUCAUGAGGGACUUAUGAUACCAUAUGAAACCUGGAUUUUAUUACUGGUGACUUUGAAGUCUUGAUUGGAAAAAAAUACAUAGUAUGUUCAUCUCUUUUUGCCACUGAAAGCUGUAACUUUGAAAGAGAAAAAAGACACAUAAAACUAUGAAAACCAGAUACAACAGAGGACAACAGCUAUGACACAAAAAGAAGAAUCAGAGAAAAGGAGGCAAAUAGCACUUCAGAAAACAGAAGCUAUUUGUGCCUGAGAAUUUGAAAAUCAUGGUGAUACCUAUCAUAUGAUUAACAGACAAGUCAACAAAGCAUUCACCAGAAAAGUAUGAGCCCUUUAAUGUCUAUUUGUGUGUCUUCUCUACAAGUAUGUGUUUCAAU